UCUGUCCUCAGGGAAGAACACCCUAGUCGUAAAUAACGGCUAGGUUUGACGGUACCUGUGGAGGAAGCUCCGGCUAACUACGUGCCAGCAGCCGCGGUAAUACGUAGGGAGCAAGCGUUGUCCGGAAUUAUUGGGCGUAAAGGGUGUGUAGGCGGUCUAGUAAGUCAAAUGUGAAAUUCAUCGGCUCAACCGAUGAACUGCCUUUGAAACUACUAGACUUGAGGGUAAGAGAAGAGAGUAGAAUUCCUAGUGUAGCGGUGAAAUGCGUAGAUAUUAGGAAGAAUACCAGUGGCGAAAGCGACUCUCUGGCUUACUCCUGACGCUGAGACACGAAAGCUAGGGUAUCAAACCGGAUUAGAUACCCGGGUAGUCCUAGCCGUAAACGCUGGAUACUAGGUGUUGGAGGUUCGACUCCUUCGGUGCCGAAGUUAACGCAAUAAGUAUCCCGCCUGGGGAUUACGACCGCAAGGUUGAAACUCAAAGGAAUUGACGGGGGCCCGCACAAGCGGCGGAGCAUGUGGUUUAAUUCGAAGCAACGCGAAGAACCUUACCAGGGUUUGACAUCCCGUGACCACCUAUGAAAGUAGGAUUUGAUCUUUUGAUCACACGGAGACAGGUGGUGCAUGGCUGUCGUCAGCUCGUGUCGUGAGAUGUUGGGUUAAGUCCCGCAACGAGCGCAACCCUUAUUCUUAGUUGCCAGCACUUUUAGGUGGGGACUCUAAGGAGACUGCCAGUCAAAAAACUGGAGGAAGGUGGGGAUGACGUCAAGUCAUCAUGCCCCUUAUACUCUGGGCUACACACGUGCUACAAUGGACUGUACAGAGGGUCGCUACACCGCAAGGUGAUGCUAAUCUCUAAAACAGUUCCCAGUUCGGAUUGCAGGCUGCAACUCGCCUGCAUGAAGUUGGAGUCGCUAGUAAUCGUGGAUCAGAAUGCCGCGGUGAAUACGUUCCCGGGCCUUGUACACACCGCCCGUCACACCACCCGAGUUGGAUGCACCAGAAGUCAUCAUACCGUUUAAGGUAGAUGCCGAAGGUGUGUCUGGUAAGGGGGG
rnacentral:ncRNA from 1 species